UCCCUGGUGGCUCAGAUGGUAAAGCAUCUGCCUGCAAUGUGGGAGACCUGGGUUCGAUCCCUGGGCUGGGAA
rnacentral:tRNA from 1 species